ensembl:lncRNA
GCCAGUGCUCGGGCACUGUAAGAUGGCACAGGUCCAUUGGGCACCCGGACCACGUUGAAGCCAGACUCUGAAAACAAACCAGCCUCAGUUGUGAGCUGAGCACAUAGUUUCGAGACUUUGGAUUUUAAAAGAAACUGAACUAUUUUAAAGAGACUGGACUUUUAAUGUGUUUGGAUUUGUAAAGACUUUUAAAAGUUAUUUAUAUAUUUAAUGCGAGAUCUUAGUGAUCAAUAUGGAGGCCAAAGCGUGUUGUGGGUGGUGCCACCCCGGGGGCAGUGGUCCUGGGUUCAUAAGAAAGCAGACUGAGUGAGCCUGUAGCAGCAUCUCCCUCCAUGACCUCUGCAUCAGCUCCUGCCUCCUGGUUCCUGCCCUGCUUGAGUUCCCGCCCUCACUGCUUUUGACGAUGAACUGUUAUAUGGAACUCACCAAUUACUUCAAGAGGAUGAUGGACUAUUAUUUGAAGAAUCUCCCUAUGGAGCUUGUUUUCAAUGUGGCAAGGCUAGCCAUUUUGUCAAGAAACCGCUCUUGCCUGGACUGUUUGAGGAUAUGCUGUAUAAACUGGACAUGCAGGACCCACAGACAAAUGAGUGCUAAACUUGCCCAAACAAGGUGGGACAGUCCUUCAGUUUCCUGCUUCAUAGAAGAAACUGCCAGACAUUCUUCAGGACUCAGAGAAAAGAUGGCAAUCAGAUGGGACAGUCUUUCAAAUUUCCUGCUUCAUUAAAAAGUCUGCUAUGGGCCUUUAGGCUGAAGAUGGAUGCCCCAACAUUACUGGAGAACUUUGGGUGACUGUCCAGGCAGACAGA